rnacentral:rRNA from 1 species
GUUAGAGGGUUUCCGCCCUUUAGUGCUGAAGUUAACGCAUUAAGCACUCCGCCUGGGGAGUACGGCCGCAAGGCUGAAACUCAAAGGAAUUGACGGGGGCCCGCACAAGCGGGGGAGCAUGUGGUUUAAUUCGAAGCAACGCGAAAAACCUUACCAGGUCUUGACAUCCUCUGAAAACCCUAAAGAUAGGGCUUCUCCUUCGGGAGCAGAGUGACAGGUGGUGCAUGGUUGUCGUCAGCUCGUGUCGUGAGAUGUUGGGUUAAGUCCCGCAACGAGCGCAACCCUUGAUCUUAGUUGCCAUCAUUAAGUUGGGCACUCUAAGGUGACUGCCGGUGACAAACCGGAGGAAGGUGGGGAUGACGUCAAAUCAUCAUGCCCCUUAUGACCUGGGCUACACACGUGCUACAAUGGACGGUACAAAGAGCUGCAAGACCGCGAGGUGGAGCUAAUCUCAUAAAACCGUUCUCAGUUCGGAUUGUAGGCUGCAACUCGCCUACAUGAAGCUGGAAUCGCUAGUAAUCGCGGAUCAGCAUGCCGCGGUGAAUACGUUCCCGGGCCUUGUACACACCGCCCGUCACACCACGAGAGUUUGUAACACCCGAAGUCGGUGGGGUAACCUUUUUGGAGCCAGCCGCCUAAGGUGGGACAGAUGAUUGGGGUGAAGUCGUAACAAGGGUAACCGAA